CUUCCUAUUAUCCUUUAUCUCUUUUGCAAGCUUCAUCUCUAGGUAGGGUUUAGCCUUCCUUGUCACGUCCCUGCAGGUCCUGACAACAUGUCUAUACUCCUCCCAAGAGGACAGGCCCUUUUCCCUCAU